rnacentral:rRNA from 1 species
GAUAAACGCUGGCGGCGUGCAUGAGACAUGCAAGUCGAACGAACGACCCCGGGCUUGCCCGGGGAAGUUAGUGGCGAACGGCUGAGUAACGCGUGGGUGACCUGCCCAGAAGUGGGGAAUAACUGCCCGAAAGGGUGGCUAAUACCGCAUGUGGUCAUGAGUUCGAUCUGAUGACCAAAGCCUUCGGGCGCUUCUGGAGGGGCCUGCGUUCGAUUAGCUCGUUGGUGAGGUAACGGCUCACCAAGGCGACGAUCGAUAGGUGGUCUGAGAGGAUGAUCACCCAGACUGGGACUGAGACACGGCCCAGACUCCUACGGGAGGCAGCAGUCGGGAAUUUUGCCCAAUGGGGGAAACCCUGAGGCAGCAACGCCGCGUGAGGGAUGAAGGCCUUCGGGUUGUAAACCUCUUUUCUCAGGGACGAUAAUGACGGUACCUGAGGAAUAAGCCACGGCUAACUUCGUG